GUAGCAGGAAGUGCUUGCACUUUGCUGACGAGUGGCGGACGGGUGAGUAAUGCUUGGGAACUUGCCUUUGCGAGGGGGAUAACAGUUGGAAACGACUGCUAAUACCGCAUAAUGUCUACGGACCAAACGGGGCUUAGGCUUCGGCGCAGAGAGAGGCCCAAGUGAGAUUAGCUAGUUGGUGGGGUAAAGGCUCACCAAGGCGACGAUCUCUAGCUGUUCUGAGAGGAAGAUCAGCCACACUGGGACUGAGACACGGCCCAGACUCCUACGGGAGGCAGCAGUGGGGAAUAUUGCACAAUGGGGGGAACCCUGAUGCAGCCAUGCCGCGUGUGUGAAGAAGGCCUUCGGGUUGUAAAGCACUUUCAGUUGUGAGGAAAAGUGAGUAGUUAAUACCUGCUCACCGUGACGUUAACAACAGAAGAAGCACCGGCUAACUCCGUGCCAGCAGCCGCGGUAAUACGGAGGGUGCGAGCGUUAAUCGGAAUUACUGGGCGUAAAGCGCACGCAGGCGGUUUGUUAAGCUAGAUGUGAAAGCCCCGAGCUCAACUUGGGAUGGUCAUUUAGAACUGGCAGACUAGAGUCUUGGAGAGGGGAGUGGAAUUCCAGGUGUAGCGGUGAAAUGCGUAGAUAUCUGGAGGAACAUCAGUGGCGAAGGCGACUCCCUGGCCAAAGACUGACGCUCAUGUGCGAAAGUGUGGGUAGCGAACAGGAUUAGAUACCCUGGUAGUCCACACCGUAAACGCUGUCUACUAGCUGUUUGUGGCUUUAAGCCGUGAGUAGCGAAGCUAACGCGAUAAGUAGACCGCCUGGGGAGUACGGCCGCAAGGUUAAAACUCAAAUGAAUUGACGGGGGCCCGCACAAGCGGUGGAGCAUGUGGUUUAAUUCGAUGCAACGCGAAGAACCUUACCUACACUUGACAUGCAGAGAACUUUCUAGAGAUAGAUU
rnacentral:rRNA from 1 species